AAGGGAUAGUCUGAGGUCGGCUUUUAAAGACUCUUCGUAGAGUCUGACUUAACCUCGAGAGGAUAAGGCUAUCUGAUGCUCGGGACCAACAACCUCUAACUUAAAUUCUAGAGGGAUUUGGUAUUGAAGAUGGAGAACCUCCAGGUCCUCGCAAGUGAGGAUGGAGGCUACUUGAAAGGGCCGAAGUUGCACACACCCUCGACUUCGGAGCUUUCCUCAUCGAUUGGGUUAUGACCAGA
rnacentral:lncRNA from 1 species